UCUUCACGGACAUUUUCAAGUACCCAUUAAUUGGGUUUCAUGUACCCAUUAUUCGUUUCAGUACUGAAAUGUCAAACAAUGGGUAUUUUUUCUAAUACAAAUAAUGGUGUCAUAUGUCAACGCCAUUUUUUUCCGGUUGGAUGCGUUUAAUUGUUUUGACCAACAUAAUAUUAAGUUCUUCGUUGGUGUUUAAAUAAUACAAGAAACCAAUAUGAAGCUGCAGGAGAUUUCGGAUGAUGGUGAUCCUGUUCCUGUUCAAGUGCAACUAAUGUGCCGUGUCUAGACAUCGCCUAUGAGCGUCUGCAGGAUGAGACACCGUGUAAAAGCUCCAUUCUGAUGAUUCCCCACUUGUUGCUUCGCCAGAGGAAUGAAUUUCGACGGGCAUCGGCAAAUUGAUCCACCGAAGAAAACUCAUGAUGUCAGCGAUAGUGCAAAAUUUGUUUCGUGCAAUGUCUCGAUCAUUAUCAUGUAUUAUAUGAUUGGUUA